AAGGAAUAUCAUCUUGAAUAUGUCCUGUUAACUCAUCCAUUACCAACGCAAAAAGGUAAGGACUUAAAGAUUGUUGAUGCACAAAAUCAGUGAGGACUUUGGUACAAUAGAAAGUAUUAAGUUUGUGAUCUUCACUAGAUUGCUCUGGUCAUUAGUGUGGAUAAGUAUGUAAAUGGAUAGAGACAGGAAAGCAAACACAAGAUGUACGUGGUUCACCCAGAUUGGCUACGUCCACGGAGUAGAGGAGUUCUCAUUAAUUGUGAAGGGUUUACACAAGUACAUAGGUUCAAGCUCUCCUUUAGUAAGUACAAGUGAAUGAUUUAGUACAAAUGACAUAGGUUCGAGCUCUCGUCUUCACUUGCCUUAUCUGUCUCAUAGGUAGAUGUGGCAUCUUCUCUGGAAGUACUCUUCCUCCAUCCAUGGGUGGUAUCUUUAACUGGUGGAGAUGCACAAGGUAAUGUAUCAAUUUCACUUGAAGCUUACUUGUAGUUUCAGGCUUGGUCAAGCGCGAUACAAACCAUGUAGUAGGAAUCCCCCAAGUCGCCGAGCUAGGGGAUCUGCUGAAAGAGGCGACAGACAAGGUAAGCAAUCAGAGCUCCAAGCAAUCAGUCCCAGAUCAGAAGUUUGAUUUUGAGUUCCGGCUGAUUGUUCUCAUUCUUCCUAUCUUGCAGGCAGCAUGAAGGAUAAAGAGAAGAAAAUGAGAAUAGAUGAUAUGAGAUACUUUUGCUUUUGAAGAAGUAACUUUCCAUAGGCUUAUUCUUGAACUGGGCUGGAGGAUUUUCUGGUUUCCUCCAGAGUAUAAGGCUGACUGAAGAAUUUGAGGGUCAAAACAAGUUCAUCAAAUCUAGAGUACAUUCGACCCUGCUGAUAUGGGAUACUUUUGCUGUUGACAAAGUAGUGGAUGUAUCGGCACGUGUUCUAUUACGCUUGUCUCCACAUGCUUUCUUGUAUCCUUCUCACUUUCCCUAUCUGUUCCUCAGGCAUAUGUGGUAUCUUCUCUGGAAGCAUAAGAUGUUGAAGAUGAGUACUCGAGAGCAAUAUCAGGUAAGUAAUCAGGUAAGGGGUUCCAGGCAGUCAGUUCCUGACUAGAAGCUUGAUUCCAAGUGCUGACUGAUUGCUCUAUUUCUCCUUGUCUUGCAGGUAAGAACAAGGCCAAAGGAAAAGACAAGGAAAAAGCAUGAUAUGGGAUACUCUUGCUUUUAACCCUGAUGAUAUGAGAUAUUCUUGCUCUGGUGUAGCUUGUUUGCAAAGGGAUUAUCGGGGGGAAAGAAAGCUGAGUAUUUCGAGAGGCUUCGGUGGGAGUGCCCUCUCAGAUAUGAGGAAGGGUUGAGCAUUUUUGCAGGUCUGCCUGUCCGUUGAGGAUAGAGGUCGACAUAUAUAGGAGUUUCCCUAACAACAAGUAGUAAUGCUAUUCCUUUACCCUGCUUGGUCAUAGCACGGUAGUGGGAGCUGCCAGCUUCACGUGUGUCAGAACACUUUGAAAAAGUGGUAUGUGGUAUCUGGAAAGCUGAUGUUGCGUGUGAAUAUUACAGACAAGCUUUAUCCAAGGAGAUCUGGCUCUCGAAGUUGAGAAAGCAGUGCCUCUUCGAUUUUCGAACAAGCAAUCCUGUCGGGGAUCUGGCUCUCGAGAUUCAGAGAAUAGUGCCUCUUCGAUUUUUGAGAGAGCAAUCCUGCUGGGAGUCUGGCUCUUGAGAUUCGGAAAGCGGUGUCUCUUCGAUUUUUGAGAAAGUAAUCAUGUUGGGAGUCUGGCUCUCGAGAUUCGGAGGACUGUGCCUUUUCGAUUUUGGAGCAAGCAAUCUUGUUGGGAGUGUUUUCUUGAAUGUGAGUAAAGGUUGGGCAUGUUUGCUAGUCUACCUUGCCACAGAGCACAAAGGUUAACACAUAGGGACUUUCUAAUUAUCCAACAGUGGUGCUGUUCCUUUACCCUUGUGGGUAAUAAUAUGGUAGCUAGACCUUCAAAAUUUAUGUGUCUAAACUUUGUUAGUGCUGUUUCUUUGCUAUUCUUUUACCCUUAUUGGUCUUAGCGAUGUAGUGGGAGCUGCAAGCUUCACGUGUCUAAACUUUGUCAAAGAUAUUUGGCAAAGUUAUCUGUGGUACCCAUGAGCUGAUGGUGCGUGUGGAAAGUUGAUGAUUGAACAGUAAGAUUCACGUGCUUUCUACUUCACCAGAAAUCUUCAACAGAAUGCCCGUAAUUUCAGCAAAACUAAGUGUGCAUGUGACAGGUGCUGACAAGGCUGAGAAAAGCAGGUGCCUCUUCGAUUUCUGAAAUCGGCCCUCGUGGUCUCUGAGUAGCCUAGCUUUUGAGAAAGCAAGUGCCUCUUCGAUUUCUGAGAUCAACCUUCGUGGUCUUUAAGCAGCCCAGCUUUUGAGAAAGAAAACGCCUCUUCGAUUUCUGAGAUCAACCCUCGUGGUCUCUGAGCAGCCCAGCUUUUGAGAAAGCAAACGCCUCUUCGAUUUCUGGGCAGGCGCCUCUUCGAUUUCUAAAGCUCCGUCGAGUGCAGAUUUUUAUAAAGGCUGGCAUUAAGUUCCAAAGCACACUUGAAUCUUCACCAAUAGAAGCUCCAUUCUUGCACUUCUAAGAUCUUGAUUUGUCCGACCUUUUCUCUCUUCAAUACCUUUGAAAAUGUCUGGCCCCUCCGACCGUCGUUUUGGCUUGAACCUUGUUGAAGAGGUAGCCACGCCUUCUCCAGACAACAUAUGGCGCCCAUCCUUCUUAUCCCCUACUGGUCCUCUUACCGUUGGGGAUUCCGUGAUGAAGAAUGAUACGACUGCUGCGGUUGUGGCCAGGAACCUUUUCACUCCCAAAGAUAACAGACUACUUUCCAAACGGUCUGAUGAGUUGGAUGUUAAGGAUUCUCUGGCUCUAAGUGUUCAGUGUGCAGGUUCUAUGUCUAAUAUGGCCCAACGCCUAUUUGCUCGAACCCGCCAAGUUGAAUUAUUGGCGGCUGAAGUGAUGAGUCUCAAACAGGAGAUUAGAGGGCUCAAGCAUGAGAAUAAACAGUUGCACCGGCUCGCACAUGACUAUGCUACAAACAUGAAGAGGAAGCUUGACCAGAUGAAGGAAUCUGAUAGUCAGGUUUUACUUGAUCAUCAGCGGUUUGUGGGUUUGUUCCAAAGGCAUUUAUUGCCUUCGUCUUCUAGGGCUGUAUCGCGUAAUGAAGCUCCAAAUGAUCAACCUCUGAUGCCUCCUCCUUCUAGUUCUGUCCAGUACUGAGGCUCCGAAUGAUCCCUCUUCGGUGCCUUCUCUUUCUGGGGCUCUACCGACUGUUGAGACUUCUCUUAAGCAACCUUUGUGAAGGCUCCCUCUUGUUUGUUUAUUUUGACUCAUGUAUAUGUACAUAUUUGUAACUUAUCAGAGAUAUCAAUAAAUAAGAUUUGCUUCAUUUCAACGCAUUGUGUUAAAUACACCAAAGUCUUCUUCACUGAGUGGGGUCGGCUAUAUGAAUCUUAGAACGCCAUUGUGCUCGGUCAUGUGUCAUGUCCUCCGUUAGAUCCAAAUACUCUAAGUCUUUUCUUAGAGUCUCUUCCAAAGUUUUCCUAGGUCUUCCUUUACCCCUUCGGCCCUGAACCUCUGUCCCGUAAUCGCAUCUUCUAACCGAAGCAUCAGUAGGCCUUCUUUGCACAUGUCUAAUCCACCGUAACCGAUUUUCUCUCAAUUUUCCUACAAUUUUGGUUACUCCUACUUUACCUCAGAUAUCCUCAUUCCUAAUCUUAUCCUUUCUCGUGUGCCCACACAUCUAACGAAGCAUCCUCAUCUCCGCUACACCCAUUUUGUGUACGUGUUGAUGCUUCACCGCCUACCAUUCUGUGCCAUACAACAUCGCCGGCCUUAUUGCCGUCCUAUAAAAUUUUCCCUUGAGCUUCAGUGGCAUACGGUGGUCACACAACACGUCGGAUGCACUCUUCUACUUCAUCCAUCCAGCUUGUAUUUUAUGGUUAAGAUCUCCAUCUAAUUCUCCGUUCUUUUCCAAGAUAGAUCCUAAGUAGCGAAAACGAUCGCUCUUUGGUAUUUCCUGAUCUCCGAUCCUCACCCCUAACUCAUUUUGGCCUCCAUUUGCACUGAACUUGCACUCCAUAUAUUUUGUCUUUGAUCGGCUUAGGCGAAGACCUUUAGAUUCCAACACUUCUCUCCAAAGGUUAAGCUUCGCAUUUACCCUUUCAUGAGUUUCAUCUAUCAACACUAUAUCGUCUGCGAAAAGCAUACACCAAGGAAUAUCAUCUUGAAUAUGUCAUGUUAACUCAUCCAUUACCAACGCAAAAAGGUAAGGACUUAAGGAUGAGCCUUGAUGUAAUCCUACAGUUAUGGGGAAGCUUUCGGUUUGUCCUUCAUGAGUUCUUACGGCAGUCUUUGCUUCUUCAUACAUAUCCUUUAUAGCUUGGAUAUAUGCUACUCGUACUCCUUUCUUCUCUAAAAUCCUCCAAAGAAUGUCUCUUGGGACCCUAUCAUACGCUUUUUCCAAAUCUAUAAAGACCAUGUGUAAAUCCUUUUUCCCAUCUCUAUAUCUUUCCAUCAAUCUUCGUAAAAGAUAGAUUGCCUCCAUGGUUGAGCGCCCUGGCAUGAACCCGAAUUGGUUGUCCGAAA
rnacentral:lncRNA from 1 species